rnacentral:rRNA from 1 species
UCGAGAAUCUUCGGCAAUGGACGCAAGUCUGACCGAGCGACGCCGCGUGCGGGAUGAAGGCCUUCGGGUUGUAAACCGCUGUCAGUGGGGAGGAAGGCUCCGUGAAGAACGGGGUUUGACCUAUCCGCAGAGGAAGUGAGGGCUAAGCUCGUGCCAGCAGCCGCGGUAAGACGAGCCUCACAAACGUUAUUCGGAAUUACUGGGCUUAAAGGGUGCGUAGGCGGCGCGGAAAGUUGGGUGUGAAAUCCCUCGGCUCAACCGAGGAACAGCGCCCAAAACUACCGUGCUCGAGGGAGAUAGAGGAGUGCGGAACUUAGGGUGGAGCGGUGAAAUGCGUUGAUAUCCUAGGGAACACCGGUGGCGAAAGCGGCACUCUGGAUCUCUUCUGACGCUGAUGCACGAAAGCUAGGGUAGCGAACGGGAUUAGAUACCCCGGUAGUCC